GCCAGAGUAAUUCACUAUUUUUAUGAUCCACAGCUUCUGUAUUCAUGGAAAAUUAAAUGCCAAUGUGCAUUCCUUUAUUACUCGUUGAGUUAUAAAGAGUAUAACUAGCCAUAUAUCCAUGUGCUUUCACUUCUGUUAAUGAAGGCGGCAUAGUGAAACAGAAUAUUGGUGAAAUAAGACCAUAUAUGCAAGUGGUGAUGCUGAAAGAAAAUUUGUUGUGCACACUUUUGGCAGGUUCAACUAGAG
rnacentral:misc_RNA from 1 species